AGGACGAACGCUGGCGGCGUGCUUAACACAUGCAAGUCGAACGGAAAGGCCCUGCUUUUGUGGGGUGCUCGAGUGGCGAACGGGUGAGUAACACGUGAGUAACCUGCCCUUGACUUUGGGAUAACUUCAGGAAACUGGGGCUAAUACCGGAUAGGAGCUCCUGCUGCAUGGUGGGGGUUGGAAAGUUUCGGCGGUUGGGGAUGGACUCGCGGCUUAUCAGCUUGUUGGUGGGGUAGUGGCUUACCAAGGCUUUGACGGGUAGCCGGCCUGAGAGGGUGACCGGCCACAUUGGGACUGAGAUACGGCCCAGACUCCUACGGGAGGCAGCAGUGGGGAAUAUUGCACAAUGGGCGGAAGCCUGAUGCAAGCAACGCCGCGUGCGGGAUGACGGCCUUCGGGUUGUAAACCGCUUUCGCCUGUGACGAAGCGUGAGUGACGGUAAUGGGUAAAGAAGCACCGGCUAACUACGUGCCAGCAGCGGC
rnacentral:rRNA from 1 species